AUGCAGCGAGAGGUCCUUCAGCUGAACGAGUGCGUCCCUCCCUGCUUCCUAAUCCUGCUGCAAAACUGCAAACAAAAGUCGCAGGGAGGAAUGCGCCAGCCUUUGGCCAGAAAGAGAAAGGGCAUGGAGUGCUUUGAAAGGAGAGUGGAAGCCCGGCAGCCUGUGCAGCGAUCACUAGCGUGUCUCUAUCCAGACAAAGCAAGGACAAGCCGCAUUCUUAAAAAUUAUCUGCCUUACAGAUCGCGUUCCCAGGCAUGUUCCCUGCGUUUUAUUGCCGCGGAUAACCCCUUAAUGGUUGUUGCCACUUUUGCUGCUUUUCACAUCAGAGAAGUCAAGUAA
rnacentral:lncRNA from 1 species